rnacentral:rRNA from 1 species
GAUGAACGCUGGCGGCGUGCCUAAUACAUGCAAGUCGAGCGAACAGACGAGGAGCUUGCUCCUUCGACGUUAGCGGCGGACGGGUGAGUAACACGUAGGUAACCUACCUAUAAGACUGGGAUAACUUCGGGAAACCGGAGCUAAUACCGGAUAAUAUUUCGAACCGCAUGGUUCGAUAGUGAAGGAUGGCUUUGCUAUCACUUAUAGAUGGACCUGCGCCGUAUUAGCUAGUUGGUAAGGUAACGGCUUACCAAGGCAACGAUACGUAGCCGACCUGAGAGGGUGAUCGGCCACACUGGAACUGAGACACGGUCCAGACUCCUACGGGAGGCAGCAGUAGGGAAUCUUCCGCAAUAGGCGAAAGCCUGACGGAGCAACGCCGCGUGAGUGAUGAAGGUCUUCGGAUCGUAAAACUCUGUUAUUAGGGAAGAACAAACGUGUAAGUAACUGUGCACGUCUUGACGGUACCUAAUCAGAAAGCCACGGCUAACUACGUG